UACCGUAUACAGAGACAUGCAUGGGCUUAUGGGGUAACGCCACUGUCCACUUAAUAGAACGAUUGGCUGAGCUACUUCCUGGUCUCGACAGAAAUCACUGCAAACACUGGGCAGUGGACAAUAUCAUGCAAAUCCUGGAACUUUUAAGGUAUCUUUUUUGUUUACAUUUAUUUCUAAUUUAUUUUUUAAUGCAUUACCUAGAUAUUUUUAUUAUUUAAUUUCUCAGCCAAUGAAAAUAAUUGCGAUAGCCAGAUGUGAUUGCUACUAUAAGGUGCAUAAUCACACCAAACUAAUUUGUUUUCUGUAAAACAUGUAUCCAGAAAUGUCAGUGUGAUCAUCACAAAGUACAUUGCGAGAUUUGACUGCAUGUCCUUAAACUCCCCAAUACAGAGGCCUCUGGAGUAAGACACAGCUCUGGCUGACAGCUCACACCUGGUUAACUAUUAACACCAAAUCAUUGUGCAGUCAAGGUUACCAAACAAAUAAAGAUAAGUGUCAGCAAAUUCUAUAAAAUGCUGUAAUACAGGGCCUCCCUGAGUAGGACAGCAGAGCAAUUCUGCAGAGCACAACAACAUUCCUCCCACCAUAUCAAAUGGAAAAAACGAGGGACACUUUCAUUUUAGGGGUGUGCGUGAGGGGUGUGGGCCGGAGCGGCUGUAAAAUUGUAUGUGACUUACUAAUAACUAUUUAUACAACUAAAUGUUAUUUAGAACAAGGACAAUGUAUCAUAUGUGCUCAUGAACGACUGCAACUUAAUGUAGUUGUUCUGUUGUCUAUAGCCUGUCCCUGCAGGCUUCUUAUUGUAAACACUCAAUUUUCAGAGAAGAGGCAGUGCUUACAUUGCUGCCUAGUAACACCUCUAGUGGCAGUCACUCAGACAGCCACUAGAGGUGCUUCUUGGAUCAGCGCUGCACAGUAUGCAGCACUGUCGUUCAGCGUCUCCAUGCUCUGCAAAGAUGCUUUGAUUCACUGCAUCUCUAUGAGGAGAUGCUGAUUGGUGCAGCUCAGAAUUUUGCCGUGCAUGCACAAUAGCAUUCCAAUACUUUCUUAUGGAUUCCAGAUGGUCAAAUUUGGUGAUUUCAGCCAUGGAGGCAGAGUGAGGCGUUAUGAGAUCAGCACAAUGCUGGAAAAGGGGGAAUAAAAUCACCUUUUAAUGGGCCGUGGGGAGCGGCCAGCUGAGGCAGCAAGGAGGUGGCCGGCUGAGGUAGCACGCAAGGGAGCAGUAAUGUUUCUGCAGCUCCUUUCUUCCUGCUCUCGCUGUUUAGUGAUCCCGGGAGCCGGAACCCAGCCCCGGCAUCACCAAAGAGAGCGUGCAAGGGGAGCUGCAGGAAGAUUAGAGAGUAGCUCCACUAAUCCCCAGGGAAAGGUUAGCUUUCUUAAUGAUAGGGAGGAUGGGUGGACAUAAGUUGAAAUAAACAUGUCAAUUUGUGAGUUUAUGUGUGUCUGUCAGUGUUUGUGGGUGUAUGUGUGUGUGUUUGAUAGUGUUUGUGAGUGUUUGUGUGUGUUUAGGUACCUGCCCCCCCCCCCCACCUCCCCAAUCACAUGAGAAAGGUGAUUUUACUCAACUUUUUCCCCAUGCCGUGCCGUUUUCACCACGGCUGGUCCUGUCUCCAUGACUGGGAUCAUCAAUCUUAAUGAUCUCAGCUAAGCCAUCGCAUUCCCAUAGGAAAGCAUUGGGAGGAUAUUGUGUAUAUUUUUAACAUUCAGCGCCUCCAUGUCCAGAGCAUGGAGACACUGAACGUGGGUGCUGCACACUGUGCAGCGCUGUCACAGGACUCUAGUGGCAGUCUGAGUGACUGUCAUUAGAGGUGUUACUAGGCAGCAAUUUAAUCACUGCCUUUUCUCUGAAAUGGUAAUGUUUACACUGAAAAGCCUACAGGGACAGGUUAUAGACACCAGAACAACUACAUCAAGCUCAAGUGUCCCUUUAAGAAUUGCAUUUUUUUUUCUUUGAAAAAUAAACUUUACUGUUUUUUUAAAAAUGGAUCCUAACUUUUUAGCUGGCUCCUAGGUUCCAAAUAAAUUUGUCAAGCCACUGUUUUAUUGCUUAGUUGGCACAUUUGUAGCAAAAUAAAUGUAUUUACUGCUUACCCAUAUUUAAGAUAAUAUCAAGUCGGCAUUCCAGGUAAUGUCUGUCAGUGCAGGUUGGAUCUGAAAGAAUAAAAACAAAAUGGACGUUACACAAACUGACCAAGGCUUGCAAUAUUUAUACUUAGAUUCUGAACACUGCAAUACAAUUAAUGAGAAAGCUGUAACAUACUAAGUAAAACUAUCAGUCACAGAGAAAUGUUAUAUUAGAGCAGGGUUAGGCAGCCUUUUAGCAGUACUGUGCUAAAACAAUAUCUCGAAGUCUCUUGAUGUGCCAACCCAAAUUUUGUAUCUGUGUAUGUUGCCGUAUUCUGCUUAUUUAUGGGCGGCUUUGUAACAUUGUAUUUGUGCGCAUGCAGACUAUUCUAUUGUAUAUGUUCAUUAGUAAUUUGUGGCAUUUUCUAUGAUACCUAUGAAUGUAGGCUGUGUAUGGGGGCUGCUUGUGGAAUUGCGUGUGUGGAUGAUAUGUCACAGUGUGUUUGGUGGUGUUUGUAUGUGUGGGGUUGCUUGUGGUAUUGCAUGUGGUAUUGUGGUAUUGCAAACUGUGUGUGUUUGUUUGUGGGUGGUCAGUAUAAUUGGUGUAUGAUAGGGAGGCUUAUUCUCGAAUUUUUUGUAUAUUUAUCUAGUGUGUGGCUUCCUUGGGUUUCAGUGGGGACCAGGUUGGCUAGGUACAGGUCAAAGGCAGGAUAUGCGAUAGUUGGUGGGGGCUGCUCUACUCCAGUACGGAUUCAUGUUCACAAGUGCUCGAAUGGUAAAUUGAGAAUUAUCCCUCACCACCUUUUGGCAUUAGGUGGUGAUUACUGAAUUUCCACCAGGACUCUUGAUAGGCCAGAGCCUGUUUGGGUCUAGCAGCCUUGAGUGCUGUACAAAGGCUCCUUGAGUGCUAUGCUUGGCAGAUGUGCCGUAGGUUGCUGACCCCUGUAAUAGAGGGGUUGUCCAUAUUCUUCACUAAUGGAUUAGACGCAAAACAAGGAGGGUGGAAAACUAGAUAUUAAAAAAAACACAAACUUAAAAAAAAAAAAAGUUAGUUUUAUCGAUAGCUCUAAGCACAAGAUUUAGGACAGGAUAAUAACAGAACAACAACUAUAAAAAAGUAAUGAUCAACUAAAAGAUAACAGGUUCAUUCAGUCAAUAUUGUGUAUGGGAGGAGUUCUAAGCACAAGAGAUAAUGGUUGGAAAAAAAAUACAUCUGUUUUAGUCCAGUAAUUGAAGAGGGACUAUCAUUUCUGAAUUACUACUAAAUGUUUUUGUAAAUAUAUUGUGUAUUGUGUUACAUAUGAUGAAUACUGUAUAAUGUAUGCCUCAGAUUAUGGCUAAAUAUGGCAAUUAGCAGAGCUUUAGUCAGCAGCCAUUUGCAAUUCUUCGCCAUUUCUUAUUGCCCAUAACUCGUAACGCUGAAUGUGAGCAGACAUCUAAUGCAAUACACAACAGACUCCCAAUGGCAUUAACUGACAGCACGCGUGAUAAGAUCUGCGCAAGAUGCCACGAAAGUCUAUACUUGUGUAGAAAUAUAUUGCGACUCUUUAUAAAACUAUUCUGACAGCAGUUGAGAAGCUGAAAAUUGUGGCGUUGUAAAGAGAGCUUCAGAUUAUAUCUCUCUUCCCCUUAAACUACAAAAAAUACACAAGCUUUUUUUUAAAAUUACUUUAACCGCAAUGUAAAUAUAGCAUGCAACAAAAUAUAUAUACAUUGAACCAGGAAAGCUACAUUUAGCAUUAUAUAUUAAAGCGACACUAUAGUCACCAAAACAACUUUAGCUUAAUGAAGCCGUUUUGGUGUAUAGACCAUCUCCCUCGGUCUCACUCAAUUCUCUGCCAUUUAGGAGUUAAAUCACUUUGUUUAUGAACCCUAGUCACACCUCCCUGCAUGUGACUUGCACAGCCUUCCUAAACACUUCCUGUAAAGAGAUGAGUCUAAACACUUCCUGCAAAGAGUCAUCUAAAGUUUAUCCCUCCUUUAUUGCAAGUUCUGUGUAAUUUAGAUGGUCUUAUCCCCCGCUAUGUUAAUAGCUUGCUAGACCCUGCAAGAGCCUCCUGUAUGUGAUUAAAGUUUAAUUUACAGCGAAAGAGAUACAAUUGUUUAAGGUAAAUUACAUCUGAUUGAAAGUGAAACCAGUUUUUUGUUCAUGCAAGCUGUGUCAAUCAGAGUCAGGGGAGGUGUGGCUAGGGCUGCAUAAACAGAAACAAGGUGAUUUAACUCCUAAAUGGCAGUGAAUUGAGCAGUGAAACCUGAGGGGCAUGAUCUAUACACUAAAACUGCUUCAUUAAGCUAAAGUUGUUUAAGUGACUAUAGUGUCCCUUUAAUUUAAAGCUACUACAUUGUUGGGUCAAGUUAUUACCCAAUUUCAUGAAGCUCCUUUUAUUGACUUUGGAGGUUGAAGGUAACUAUAUCUACUGAGCUGUCUCAAAUUGUUGGAUUUUGCAAACAUAAACAAUAUGAACUACUGAAAGAAAUUAGAAUUACAAAGGAAAAAAAAUGUAUAGAGUCACAUUAAAGAAUCAUAGUGUCAGGAACACAAACAUGUAUGCCUGACACAAUGAUGUUAAACCCACUAUUUAGGUUUUGGGCCCCGCUGUCAUUGCAGUGAAAAUGUGUUUAAACUCACCUCUUCUUGCACACCACCCCAAUCUUGACGUGGCUGUCCUCGCCUCAAUGGCUCAGAGCCCACACUAACAGCCCAUUACUGCCAUCCAUAUUUCUUAAAAAUAUGAAAAACCUAAUUGAAGGGACACUCCUGACAGUUUAGAUUGCUCAAGUGCUUCAUGUGUGAAGAGUGCGAUUCCAUUUUCUUUUUCCAUUUUUCAAAAAGUACAGAUUUCAAUAGAAAUCGAUACUUUUAUAAAUGAACCUUGUUACACCCCCUGGCUGUCAAUCAGACAACCGGUUCUGUUACUUCCUGGUUUGGUUAGCUCAGUGGAGAUAAACUCAAGAGGCAGCACUUGUCCAGAGCACCUGCCUUGCAAAGACUUCUCAUUGAGUUGCAUUGGGAAGUCUGUGAUUGGACAGCCACAGAAUGUCUGAACGGGGUUAGAAGAGGAGGGCUUGCAAAGGCUGCAGACACGAAAUCUGCAGCUUUUGUAAGCUGUUUUUAGAUAUACCCUCAAUGAAAAAAUGCAUACUUAAAUGCAUGCAUCUUUUAAUUGGGGUAAAUCAAUAAUCAGUGAUUUUAUUUUUUUUUGUUGAAUUUGAUAACUUGAAAAUGGACAAAAUAAAAUGAAAACUCUGCAUCCAAACACUUCACACACCCGUGGCAUACUUUUUAGUGGUUAUGGUAUUUAGAGCAUUACUGUAAAUGAACACACCAAGCACUUACAAUGCCAGGACUGCCAUAGCCCCGUCCCAGGGUAAGAAUCAAACUUUCUGCUAACUGAUAGCCCGCGUCAGCCCUGCUCCUCAUGCGGACACCCCUUAGUCUCAGGUUAACUCUUUCACAACCAAGCAAUAUUUGUUUGACAUAAUAUUAGCGCACCAUUUACUUGAAACAAGGGAAGAAAAGCUGGCACAUACGCUUGUAAUAAAACAGAAAUUUUGUAUACCGAUUGCUUCUGAGAGAAACAACAAUUAACAUUGUAAAUAUACACCAUUUUUAUUUUUUAUUUAAUCCUUCAUAACUCUAUAAUAGUGCUUUGGGUAAUGAAAAGGUGUGGGUGGCACACAGUAUUCUGUAUCUUGCCAUAUUUUACACAGCGCUCGAUUUGUUAGUACAAAAGCAAUAAUAUAAUUUUUUUCACACACAGUAGGUGUGACAAAAUUGAUAAAAAUGGAAACAGACUGCUUGUGGGUAGUUAAAGGAAUUAUCUGCAGUACAGCUUACUGAAAGAGGCAACAGAAUGUAAAAAUAAUGUCUGCAUUUGAAUAUAAUGCCCACAUACAGGUAAUACCAUUAAAUCAUACAUUUCUAAGGUAAUUUAAAAAGUGUUAUUGCAAUCUUUACCAAUAUCUGGAAUGCCAACAUAAUGCCAACAGUAAAAUGGUAUUGCUCAUUUACUCAUGUCUGUAGGAAUGAUAUCACUCAUUAAAACUACCUAUACUGUUUGAAAGGAGUGGGUAGCUGUCUUGUUCAGCACACUUGCAGGCAAUACAUUGGUCACCAGGAAAUUAUUCCUAAAGUAUAAAUGAGGUUAAGUGAGGCUUUAUAGACAAAAUUUUGUUCUGCAUGUGAAUGACAGUAAAAAAAAGUUUAUACUUGAUUCUGUAAGUGAAGGGAUCAACAAUUCUUGAUGAGGUAUCCUGGCAGCAUGGGGAAAAUUAAACAGACCGAGAAUAACAUUAAAAUAACUAUUUAUAGGUGACUAUUUUCAUCACAGUGCAAAAAAACAGGUCCUCACAAAUGAAUAUAAUAUUGAAUUUUUACGAGGCACUUUGAAAGUGCAAAAUGUACAGUUUUUGGUAGGAAUGUGUCCGGGUACAACACGUACAGUUUGUUUCUUUCCACAGUGGCCAACUGGAUGCAAAAGGUUUCCUAAUGCUAAUCCAGAGUUAAAACUCAGCCACAUAAAAUACUCAGUGGAGCCCUGCCAAUGAUCCAACAACACGGGCCUGCCAAUGAUCCAACCACUCAGGCCUGCCAAUGAUCCAACCAUUCAGGCCUGCCAAUAAUCCAACAGCACGGGCCUGCCAAUGAUCCAACAACACGGGCCUUCCAAUGAUCCAACAGCACGGGCCUGCCAAUGAUCCCACAACACGGGCCUGCCAAUGGUUUACCAACUCAGGCCUGCCAAUGGUUCAACAACACGGGCCUGCCAAUGAUCCAACAACACGGGCCUGCCAAUGAUCCAACAACACGGGCCUGCCAAUGAUCCAACAACACGGGCCUGCCAAUGGUUUACCAACUCAGGCCCGCCAAUGGUUCAACAACACCGGCCUGCCAAUGAUCCAACAACACGCCUGCCAAUGGCACAACAACUCAGGCCUGCCAAUGAUCCACAACAACACCGCCUGCCAAUGGCACAACAACUCAGGCCUGCAAUGAUCUAAGAACCCAUGCCUGCCAAUGAUCCAAGAACCCAUGCCUGCCAAUGAUCCAAGAACCCAUGCCUGCCAAUGAUCCAAGAACCCAUGCCUGCCAAUGAUCCAAGAACCCAUGCCUGCCAAUGAUCCAAGAACCCAUGCCUGCCAAUGAUCCAACAACACGGGCCUGCCAAUGAUCCAACAACACGGGCCUGCCAAUGAUCCAACAACUCAGGCCUACCAAUGAUCCAACCACUCAGGCCUGCCACCAUCACUCCAACAUGGGCUUACAAACAAUGCUCUAACACAGGUUUGCAAGCGAUGCUCCGAGACAGACCUGCAAGCAACACUCCAACACAAGACUGUCAUAAAUGUUUCACAACAGACCUACCAUCAAUGUUAUUACACCAACCGGUCAUGGAUGAUCUAACACUUGCCUGCCAGCAAAGUUCUGACACAGGCUGCCAGCGACGCUCCAACACAGGCUGCCAGCGAUGCUACAACACAGGCUGCCAGCGGCACUCCAACACAGGCUGCCAGCGGCACUCCAACACAGGCCCUCCUGUUUUACAGCUAAAAGAAGGUGAACUUGCAAAUGUCCUAACUUAGGCCUCAAUAUAGUUCGUUUGGAUCAGCAUCAGAAAUUAUCACAAUCUGUUAGAACAUUUUUCAAAUGAUUUAUUUUUCAAAAUUCCCACAUAUUUUCAUGGAAACUUCUCUAGAUAAAUAAUUUGAAAAGUUUUUCUAACAGAGUGAUCAUUUCUGGUGCUGUUCCAAAAUUAUUAAAGGGACACUAUAGGACCAGACCUCUUCAGCUCAUUGAAGUGUUCUUGGUGCAGUGUCUUGGGCCCCUGAACCUUGCAAUGGUAAUUACUGCAGUUGUUAUGGGUUAACUCUACCUCUAGUGGUUGACUACCAGACAGCCACUAGAGGGACUUCCAGGUCGUUAGGCGACUUUUGGUUGCCUGACUCUGGACGUCCCCACGCUUUGCACGAGGCCAUACAGCGUCACCCAAAACCCCAUAGGAAAGCAUUGUGUGAGAAGUCCUAAUGUGAGCGCGGCUGUCCCAGGAAUGCGCAUUAGUUCCCCCUUGCCGACUGAAGUCGGCGGGAGAGGAGCAAAGAUGGAACCAAAACCAGUGCCGAGAGACAUGGGCGCUGGAAUUAGGUAAGUGACAGAAGGGGUUUUAAACCUCUUCUGCAGCACGGGGGAGAGGAGCGAGGAAGGGGGGCAUUAUAGUUUACCUUUAAAUCGAGGCCUUCGCUAUUUUGAAGUUUAGCUUUCAAUUCACCACAGCUCACAGUCUAAUGGAAAAUCCCCUCUACACUCCACAAACAACCGGACACACACUCACAAUAGGCUUAAUUUACUAAAUAGUGCUUUGAAAGAUUUCAAAAUCAAAUAACAAAAUCUUGUCUAAUUCCUGGUAAGAUAUGGCAGUACAGAUAAAUAAUUGUGUUAGUGUACUGAUCUACAAUCAAUAAAUCGUACCAAUAGAUCUUAUUUACAGAAACCUAGAAUGUGACAGCAGAUAAGAACCAUUCGGCCCAUCUAGUCUGCCCAAAUGUUCUAAAUACUUUCAUUAGUCCCUGGCCUUAUCUUAUAGUUAGGAUAGCCUUAUGCCUAUCCCACGCAUGCUUAAACUCCUUUACUGUGUUAACCUCUACCACUUCAGCUGGAAGGCUAUUCCAUGCAUCCACUACCCUCUCAGUAAAGUAAUACUUCCUGAUAUUAUUUUUAAACCUUUGUCUCUCUAAUUUAAGACUAUGUCCUCUUGCUGUGGUAGUUUUUCUUCUUUUAAAUAUGGUCUCCUCCUUUACUGUGUUGAUUCCCUUUAUGUAUUUAAAUGUUUCUAUCAUAUCCCCCCUGUCUCGUCUUUCCUCCAAGCUAUACAUGUUAAAUUUCUUUAACCUUUCCUGGUAAGUUUUAUCCUGCAAUCCAUGAACCAGUUUACAGAGAGCAGUUCAAGGGAACAGUCAUUGUACUCUGUUUCAGAAUAUGUUGGUGCUUUACAAACAUUAAAGAUAUAUUUAACACCUUAAGGACACAUGACGGAAAUAUUCCGUCAUGAUUCCCUUUUAUUCCAGAAGUUGUGUCCUUAAGGGGUUAAUAAGUGAAACAUUUCAUAAUUAUUAUAUGGAAUGUAUAUUCAGUGAUAUGUAUUAUACAUGACAAUGACUUGCAGGAACACAAAGGUACAAAAUGCAUGUUCUGCAGAUAAGAUCUAAUGAUUAAAGGAAAAGGAAAUGUUUUAUGAUGUUUCGGUAAAUAUGGAAAGGAGAGAAUAUUAGAUUUACCGCAAGUCACAUAACACAACAUGGAAGUAACCCUGUGAGUGCCGGGGGAGGGUGGGGAAGGGCAAUAAAACACAGCACAAAAUAGAUUAUUAUUUUUAACACAUCUAAUUGUGUGGUCUUACUAUAAUCUAGUGCCAGGGAUACCAAGCUGUCUGGGAGAAAGCCACUAGAGGCUGACUUAGUGCUGCAUUGUAAACAUUGAACUUUCUGAGUGUAUAACAGAGCUCCACAGCAAUAAUACUCCCAGUAAUGAGUCUGAGUGUAUAACAGAGCUCCACAGCAAUAAUACUCCCAGGGAUGUGUCUGAGUGUAUAACAGAGCUCCACAGCAAUAAUACUCCCAGUAAUGUGUCUGAGUGUAUAACAGAGCUCCACAGCAAUAAUACUCCCAGUAAUGUGUCUGAGUGUAUAACAGAGCUCCACAGCAAUAAUACUCCCAGUAAUGUGUCUGAGUGUAUACAGAGCUCCACAGAAAUAAUACUCCCAGUGAUGUGUCUGAGUGUAUAACAGAGCUCCACAGCAAUAAUACUCCCAGUAAUGUGUCUGAGUGUAUAACAGAGCUCCACAGCAAUAAUACUCCCAGUAAUGUGUCUGAGUGUAUAACAGAGCUCCACAGCAAUAAUACUCCCAGUAAUGUGUCUGAGUGUAUAACAGAGCUCCACAGCAAUAAUACUCCCAGUAAUGUGUCUGAGUGUAUAACAGAGCUCCACAGCAAUAAUACUCCCAGUAAUGUGUCUGAGUGUAUAACAGAGCUCCACAGCAAUAAUACUCCCAGUAAUGUGUCUGAGUGUAUAACAGAGCUCCACAGCAAUAUUACUCCCAGUAAUGUGUCUGAGUGUAUAACAGAGCUCCACAUCAAUAAUACUCCCAGUAAUGUGUCUGAGUGUAUAACAGAGCUCCACAGCAAUAUUACUCCCAGUAAUGUGUCUGGGUGUGUAACAGAGCUCCACAGCAAUAAUACUCUCAGUAAUGUGUCUGAGUGUGUAAAAGAGCUCCACAGCAAUCAUACUCCCAGUAAUGUGUCUGAGUGUAUAACAGAGCUCCACAGCAAUAAUACUCCCAGCAAUGUGUCUGAGUGUAUAACAGAGGUCCACAGCAAUAAUACUCCCAGUAAUGUGUCUGAGUGUAUAACAGAGCUCCACAGCAAUAAUACUCCCAGUAAUGUGUCUGAGUGUAUAACAGAGCUCCACAGCAAUAAUACUCCCAGUAAUGUGUCUGAGUGUGAGCUCACAGCAAUAAUACUCCCAGUAAUGUGUCUGAGUGUAUAACAGAGCUCCACAGCAAUAAUACUCCCAGUAAUGUGUCUGAGUGUAUAACAGAGCUCCACAGCAAUAAUACUCCCAGUAAUGUGUCUGAGUGUAUAACAGAGCUCCACAGCAAUAAUACUCCCAGUAAUGUGUCUGAGUGUAUAACAGAGCUCCACAGCAAUAAUAAUCCCAGUAAUGUGUCUGAGUGUAUAACAGAGCUCCACAGCAAUAAUACUCCCAGUAAUGUGUCUGAGUGUAUAACAGAGCUCCACAGCAAUAAUACUCCCAGUAAUGUGUCUGAGUGUAUAACAGAGCUCCACAGCAAUAAUACUCCCAGUAAUGUGUCUGAGUGUAUAACAGAGCUCCACAGCAAUAAUACUCCCAGUAAUGUGUCUUUACUGCUCUAAAAUGUGCCCAGACUUGUCUGGUUUUAUUGCUGAACAUGUAAUGAGUCACACAAAGAGCGCAGUCACAGUUGGGAAAUCUGUUGCAGAUUUGCAGACUAAUAGAGCACCAUGGGAAAUGUAGUUUUUUUUAUUAUACAGCCUUGAGAAGUGAUGGCUAGUCUUGGCUUUACUAAGAUGCAGGUUUGCAUAGCUUCAUGGCAAAUUUAGUUUCUGCUGCCGGACAGGCUAUAACUCAUGCCAAAUGCCCCUAAACUAAGCUUUAUAAAAUUAUCUUAUUGCCACAAAAGAAAGUUUAGAUUUUUAUUUCUGCUGCCUUGCUAUGAAAAUAUAUUCAAAACUCUUUUGAUUUGCUAUAAUCACAAAAGAAGUACCUUAUCAAAAAUAUCCCUUUAUUGAUACACUGUAGUUAAGAAUCCCUUUAACACUUUGACCUCUGUGAGUCUAUGCAGAAUUAAACCACGUAGUGAGAUCAAGCUGUGGAUUUUAGCAGACACAAAUCAAAUGGUAUUUGAUAAGAAGGCUUAUCAAACAAAUUAUAUAAUGAAGAAAAUAUUUGUUUCCCUAAGACAAGCAUCCGUAUAUUAUAAUGUAUUUAAAUGCAAAAAACAAAAAUGUCUUUUUCACCAUGCGUGCUACGUUAUCUAUAUUGAGCUGGAAUAAUAACGGUGACAUUGUGACAUUGUUUUGCAGACGACUUCCUUGUGGCCAAAAUAUAUAUAUAUAUAUAUAGUGUUUAAAAAUAACAAGGAUAAAAGUGAUACAUGGAAAGUAUACUGUGGUUUGUUAAUAGAAAACGAACCAGAAAAUAUUUCCUUUGCUAAAGAAAACUUCGAAAAAAAUACUUCCUUUGAAAAAAACAACUAACGCUAUUCAUAAACAACCGAACAUAACACACACGGGCAAAUCAACAGAAACAUGCCCACAAGUUAAACCUUUUUUUUACAUAACUGUAUUCAAGAAUCAACAAAGGGAAUGUGGGUAAAGAAAUGAGCAAAUUUUAAAUUUAAAUAGCUUUAAUUUAGGCCAAUAUCUUAUUUAUUAAAAUGAUGGUGUAUUAAGAUUUACUUAGCAGAUGUUUAUCAUUUUAUACAACUUUUUAUUCCGUCACCAUUAGGUAAGGAGUAUACUCCCCCCAAAAAUAAAGUCUUUGUAGAAAACAUUAAAAGACACCAUUAAAGCAGAAAUACAAAAUGCACAGUACAAAAAGGUGCCGUAUAAAUUAAACUUGUUAAUCUGUUCUCUCUUUAUUGCCCCUGUUUCUUGGAACGUUACAGAAAAUAGCUAUUUUAAAGGGACACUAUAGUCACCAGAACAACUACAGCUUAUUGUAUUUGUCCUGGUGAGUAGAAUCAUUACCUGCAGGCUUUUUGCUGUAAACACUGUCUAAAUUAAUAAUGCUUUUCCUCUCCCCAUGUUCAGCAUGCGCACACACGGCGGAAUGGGGAAUUGCACAGGUGCAUUCAUGGAAUUCUAUGGGAAGUCCAGUAGCAAGCUUAGCUUCUGGUAAAAAAUCUAGGAAAUUCUUGAAAAGUUACGUUUAUUCCUUCCCCACCCCUCACGCCUACAGGUACAUUUUAAAGUAAAUUUAGGCCUUGGAUUUUAUAGCAAGGAAUGUAAAUAUGUAAAUCUGUCUGCAGUAACACCAUCUGCAAGUAUAUAGAUAGAAAGAAAUGAUCCUUCUGGCCUAUCUCCAUACAGAGCACUGGCAGGAACAAUUAUUGUUUUAGAACGAUCGCAUUUAUCCAUAUCUUUGUUGAAUGUCCGUGGGGGAUAUCCAACAAAUGCCAAAUUUUGGAUUCGGAUUUCAGUUCUCAGUCACUUUCAUUUUUUCAGUUUUUUUCUUUAAUAAACUGGGUUAAAUUCCUCCAAGAUUCAUUUUAUACACUAUCGCCCCAAAAACAUUGAGCUGAACAGGUCCCGUAACUUUCAAAUAGAUCUCAUUGUAGCAUUGAUAAAACCGAUCGGCAGCUAAAUGUUCCCCAUAUAACAAAAUAAAAAUGCUUGAGGUGUUUAGAGUAAAGUCAAAAUGAUUUAGGGUGAGGAGGGUUUUGUAUUACAGAAAAUUCCGUGGACUGUAAUCAUGGAAUGAAACUAAAUGAAAGAUUCCGUAGCUAUUCAGUUAUUUGUUACUAGGAGAAUUAGCCAGCAUGUAGGGAAAUUUAGAAAUUAGAAUUGCUAACUCAACUAGACUUGGAUGAGAGUGCAAAACAUGGAUGAAAUAUCUAAAAUGUUCCUUGUGUGAAUAGAAGUAACUCUAUUUUGGAUAUUUAGUUGCUAUCUGGCACUUACUAAACAAACCUCUUUUUUUGUUAAUGCAAACAUUUGUUCAUAAAUGCCUUAGAAUAAUCUCUGGGGUCUUGAUCUAACUGAUUUGUAAUUUCUGAUCACGUUUUUUUUAUUUUUGUCGACUCAACAAAAUGCGUCGGUCUCAAGGAAGGUGGAGGAAAUGAUCAGGUUACUACAUCUUAAAAGGGAUACUUUGCUGAAGUGCUUCAUGUAUGAAGAGUGUGUGUUUUCAUUCUACAAAAAAGUGCAGAUUUUGAGCGUGGUUAAAAGAGGAGUGCUUGCACAUGCUGCAGACAAGAAAUCUGCAGCUAUUGCAAGCUGUUUUUAGCUGUUUUCAAUGAAGGUAAAUCUACUAAAUAGUAGUUUAAAAAAAAAAAAAAAACACUUAUAUUUUUGUAUUUGGCCAGUGGAGUGCCUCUUCAAUCUAUCCUUUUCCUUGUGAUUCUAAUUUUAUACAUAGCUGAACCUAAUAACUCGUGCAGAUGUUUUGUGAAUACCAGGUUCAUUUUAUAGAGGACUGCAGUGAUUACAAAGGAAGCAUUUUAAAAAUGACUCAUAAUGUUAUCUAUAACUUUCUAUUUUUCAAGGUGUGUCACACAUGCCUCCUGAAAAGACACAGGCUGGGCCCUCCAUGUAAAGUAACAUAUUGUCCUAUAAUCCCUGGUGUGACUGAUGGGAUACAGCCGCUUUCUGAUUGCAGGAGACAUAGUAAAUAAAAUAGCAAUUAAGAUGCAACUUGGACAGGGUAUUAGAUUUAACCAGAACUUAGACGACCACACAGGGGCUUUAAAAAACUGUAAGCAAACUGGGUUGUUUAUAAUUAUGUUUCUUGUUGCUUCGUUAACAUUAUGCAAAUCCAAUGAAUUCAUCAUUUGCUUUACUUGCACUUUUUUUUUUUCUACAAAAUGGGAAUUUCCCAACGUAACGUUUGAGAGCUAAUGACAUGUUAACGGCUGCUGAUGAGGCAUUAACAAUAUAAACAGGAUCACAAUCUCGCAAUGCACAUACUCUUCUGCAACACUUUUAGAAUGAUCAGUUUGAUGAAUAAAGGCCGUAUGCCUUAUGUUACAUAGUUGAGAUUAAAGUAAUUACUUAAAGACAACAUGUUCUCCUCUGUCCAUGUUGUCUGCCCUUUGCCCUGCUGUGGGCGUAUGUUAACUAAUGGAUUGUGGGUAAAUUAGCACCUGAAAUGGAACUUUAUUUAAAGAAACACUCCGGGCAGCAUAACUACUUUAUCGGAAUGAAGUUGUUAUGAUUCCAAGAGGUCCCUAAUGCUGGCUGACCCACAGGGUAAGACUGCUAAUGAACGGUUUAACCCCAAAGUCUUCUGUCCAGUGCCAGUCAUCUCCGCCCACAUACUUCCAUUACAGUCCGAGGAGUUAAACAGGGAUACUGUUAUCGGCUGAAAGUUUCAGCUGUGUAUCCAAUAUUAUAUAUUGAUCGUUCCUUUGACAGUAGUAUCACAAAAGGUAGGAGAAUUACAAUUUGUCACUUAGUAAACCCCUAAAUAUUUUACUCUUAAAAAUAAACAACAAAUUGUGUAAAUCCUUGAGCUUUCGCAAUGUACCAGGAAAACCUUUGCUGUGGUUAAGAGGCCAUCUCUGUGUCAGUUACUGUUAGAACAUGUGAAUCCGCUGAUGGACAAUGAAGUCACCAGUCCGAUGACAUCACUGUAAACUCUACGCAGAAAUGUAAGAAGACGGUAAUAUGGGCAUCCUGCUGAGGAGGGAAAAGUGCUAGUUAACUGAAAGAGAGAAAGCACAUUAUACUUAAUCAUCUGGGAUGAACCUAAGGAAAAUGUCAAGACCAUGAAUCAUUGCUGAAUCUAUCCAAAUUGCCAGCGAGGAGACUUUCUCCUAAAACAUUUAUCAUGCUUGCCCUUGCAUUCUAAAACUCUACACAUGCACUGGAUUGAUGGGUUAUGGAGAUUGCCACUCAUGUACCAGGUGUCCCGAAGCAUUUCAUCGAACAUGUGCCAAGUGUCCCGAUGCUUCUCUAUGAGAAGCAUCUGAUUGAACACAAGUCAUCACAAAUGAUAACUUCACAGAAGGCAGGCAGGAGUUGCAAUGAGCAGACACUCCUGGUGCUGAAAUCGAGAGGAGUUUAUUUGCUAUUUAAUCCUUUCAAUGUUAUGCUCUGUGCAAUGUUCUGCUGGGAAUCCUUAGCAGACUGGUCACAGUCGAGAUAGUAUUAUCAGUCAAUCUUAUUUUCUCUCGAGCCAAAACCCUUAUUUUUAAUGCAUUAUAUAAGUAGUGCAUUAAAAUUUAUAAAUAAAAAAAUGUAGACUAAAAAAAGAUACACACCUUCAAAGUUCCAUUUGAUGUGCUGGUUACUGUGUCAGCCUAUAGCUGCAUACAGACAUCUCCUCAUCUGAAAAUGCCUCUUAUUUUAGUAAUUCAUCCCCUUGGGUAGUUAUUCGUUACAUUCAUCACACAGGAUGAUAUGAAUUGAUCUGUAAAAUAAUAGUGAGGUAACUCAGUUGGUAAAUUCCCUGACUACAGAGUCUGUUAAAAAAAAUAUUUAAAAAAUGCAAGAUCACAGGUUCAGAUCCCAGCAGGGUCAACUCAGCCCUUCAUUCUUCUGAGGUUGAUAAAAUGAGUACCAUCAGUUUGGUAAUAAUAACAACGUCUAUUAUUAUUCAGCUGCUGAUUGGGUGAAUUCUGAGUAAAUAUGAGUCUAACUGGGAGAAAUACUAGUUAUUAUGUUAUAUAAUAUACUGCUGUGGUCAGUUUGCACAUAGCCUAGCUCAUUGUUUAGUGAUCUGGACUAGUCACAGUCAGGAUGUCUGCAGCUCAGCUCUCUCAGUACAAGUUGGUGUGGCGGACUGACUGGCACCCCGACUGCGUGCCUCCGCCAAUCGAUGCUUCCUAGUGCUCACCAAGCACUCCACCAGACACCGUAAACACCGCAGCCAGCGUUGGGUUCUUGCUGUCCUGGACCAAAGACCCAAGAACUCUCACUUUAACCUUUAAUAAGGUAUUUUAGUCCCCAGAGAACCCGACACAACUAUACAUGGGUGGUAUCAAUGUACUCGGGAGAUGUUGCUGAACACAUAUUGGGGAGUUAUUUGGCAGUAACCCUUAAAGUUCUCAGUAUAUGUAUUCUUAAAUUGCUAUGUGGGUCAAAAAAAUCACCAAUUUUGGAGGUUUUUUUUUGGCAUAGAUUGGUGGUAAAAUGGUUGCACGAAAAGAGUCAAAAUACCCCAACCUUAGGUUGUCUUCUUUUAAAAAAAUAUAUACAUGUGUAGGGUUAUUCAGGAAUUCCUGACAGAUAUCAGUGUUACAAUGUAACUUGCGUUAAUUUUGAAGAAAAAAAAAAUGGUUUGGGCAUAGCAAAGUGCUACUUGUACGUAUAGCCCUAUAACUUCCAAAAAAAGCUAAGAACAUGUUAACAUUGCAUAUUUCUAAACUCAAGACAAAAUUUUGACUACUACUACCAACUAUUUAGAAUGGGUGUUUUUUGGGGGUUGUAGAUGCAUAACAUAUUUUUGGGCUCAAAGUUAGAAAAAGUGUGUUUUUUUAAAUUAUUUCAUCAUAUUUUAUAAUAUUAUUUAUAGUAACAUAUGAUAUGAUGAAAAUAAUGGUAUCUUUAAAAAAGACCAUUUAAUGGCGAGAAGAACGGUAUAUAAUAUGUGUGGAUACAGUAAGUGAGUACGAGGAAAAUUACAGUUAAACACAAACACUGCAGAAAUGUAAAAACAGCCCUGGUCCUUAACGGUAACAAAAUUGAAAAGCGGUCUGGUCACUAAGGGGUUAAUACACACACACACACACACACAGAUAUUUUAUACUUUAAUAUUUUGACAAAAUCAUUUCAAAAGUUUAUCCAAAAAUAUCAAAUAAUUUGAAAAGAUUAAACAAAAAUAUUAAAUCGAAGCCUUGUUCAUUUUGUUAAAGCCUGAGCUUAUCUUGCAGGGAAUCGAACCUGCGACUCAGACAGGAGCCCUAGCCACUGAAAUUUCUCACUAGGUUAGCAGUCUGUUUUUCUUUUUCGAACUUGCUGACUAAGCUAUUGCCAGGGAAUAGAUUUUUGGUACUUUAUACGAAUAUAGAAGUAAAUAAAAUGAAAGGAAAACAAUUUGUGCAAAUGUGUCCGGUGUUUGUGCCAAGUCACUGCAAGUUUCCCUUUUCCCUAUAAAAAACUGUUUCCUAAAUAAAAACAGGUCGACAAAAACAGCUUGGUUGGGCAAAGUAUGUGUUAAUUUAGACCCUCAGCGUUUCCCGUUUCCAAAAAAACAAGGAUAUUGAACAGUCUGCCAUCAGAUUUUAUUUACCUCCACAGGAAAGGCCUGAUUUAUAGAUGACCUAAAACCUUCCACAACAAGUGUUGGAAAUAAUAACACGUUCAAAAAGUCAUCUUGGUGUAUAGAUGCAAAAAUAAAUAUCUGAUUAAAGAGGCACGGUUCCAAAAAUGUUUUACGAGCGUAUAUAAAGCGACAGCGAAAGUCUAAGCUCAAGAGGCCACGAAAUUCUGUUUUGCUUUGAACUUCUGUACAAAACAAAUUACGCGUACAAGCUGAAAGUCUUUACAGUGAUGUCUUUAAUUUAAGGACACAUGACAUGUGUGACAUGUCAUGAUUCCCUUUUAUUCCAGAAGUUUGGUCCUUAAGAGGUUAAACUGGGAGCAUCAAUUGAAAAGAGAAAUUAAAAUUAAUCACUAAAGCAUAAUAAAUACUUAUAAUUUGCAUUCAGUAUUAGCAAACAAUUUAGGCAGAUGUUAAGAUAUUUGUAAAAAUACUUCUACAAUAUUAUCUACAUGUUCUUAAUGUAUUACAUACAGAGAGAACAUUAAAUACGGCGGGUAGAAACAUUUUAUCUACUAUUAAUUUACUAGAAAUGUUUUACAUGUGAUAAAAUAUGAAGAUUACUUUGUCAUUUUUAUUGACUUUAUUAUUAUGCUAUAUUAAAUCUUGGGGAUUUGCAUUAAAUGAAGAAUCGUAAGAAGUUUGUAUAUUACAUUGUAUAUUAUUUUUAAUAUAUUAUUUUUGAAUACAUUUUUUCAUGCAUUACCAAUAUAAUGUUCUAAACAAAGAAUUGGGAGUAUCCCUUUAAGUAAACACUGUUGAUACUUUGCGAUUUGUCGAGCAGGAGUAUAAAUUAAAGCAAACGACGUGCCAAUUGUUCGGGAAGGGAGGUGACACCACUUUAAAUAAUUAAUGUUGAAAUUGACGAGUUCUUUCUAUUCUAUUUUUAAAUUGCUCAGCUAGCUCUCUUCUACGCAAAAUGUAAAGCACAGAAAUGAUGUGUGAUGUGGAACAGUUUUUAGUAUUUUAGUAAAAUUGCCAUGUAAUGUAUAUAUAUACAGAUAUGAUUGGAUUUGCAAUGCCAUCCAACCAAUGUACCCAGUCUGUCCGAGUGGGCACGAUUAGCGGCAGUAUGUGCAAACGCAGAACAUUUUUCAUUUAUUAACAUUAUUAACAUAAUAAUUAACAGUAUUGCUAAUUAUGAAGAGCCAAAAUAUUCUAUGGUGAUCUGCAAUAUCUCACCUCUUGAUUGACUUCCGCAACUGAACCUAAAAUUCACUUUGAAAUGCAGACAGUAUGUAAGCCUGCCAAAUGGGCCUGUCUGUCAAUAUGAGAAAACAGGACAGGUAUAGUCUUACAUAAAUAUCACAACAUAACUUUGACAAUAAUAUAAAAGGGGUAACAAUUUCCACUGUAUAAAAAUAAAGUUCAUCGUACAUAUAAACAACUUCUUAAAUAGAAAUAAAAAAUAAAAAAAUGAAUUUAUCAUGUAGUUAUGGUGGAAAAGUGAUGAUAAAAUAAUGAGUGUAAGUAAAACAUUGAUAGGGCUGCCAGGAUGCCGAAAGGAUUUAUGUCACGGUUAAAAAGAAACAGUCUGGAAACUCCCUGAUAGUGACAGCCCCUCAUUCCUUCACCUCAGCAAAUGCUGCUGAAGUACUUUUUGGGGUACGCAGGGCAAGUAUAGCUAGGUAGGUGUAAAACAUAUGACAUUCUUUCCAAAGAGUCUGAAUGCACAGCACCAUGGGUUUUUAAUUAAUUUGCAUGGUAUGCCUUGGCUGUGUCAGGAACAGCCGGGCAAAUAAUGUCAUUUAAACAAUAAAAACUAUUGUUAUAUUUUAGUAAGCUAAUGGAACAUGCACAAAUCUCCAGACACACACACACACACAUACUACUGACAUGCUGCCUGGGUGUUUAAAAAAUUAUUUUCUUUUUCUUUUUUUUUUUUAUGAUAAAAUAAAGAAAUUGGAACCAAACAUCCAGUCCGAUUGUCCACCAUAACCACUGUGUAUUGGGAGUUUUUAAGUGUUGCAGUUCAGCUAGCAGGUUUUUUGUUUUACUUAAAGCUGUAUAACCCACGACUAAGUUAAUUCAUAAAGUCCACAAAUUACUCUAUAGCAUCCAGUUUAUAUAACCCUGCACACAUAACUUCAUUCUUUUUCAUGAAUCAAACCUACAGUGGAUAGUAAUAGCGCACGUCCCGGCUAACCCGUAUAUAUAAGGUUUCACUAUCACUCCAUAAAGGGAGCAAUUGGAUUGGCUGAGCCACUUCCUGGUUUGAUGAGAUCUUACUGCACAAGAAGUAAAUGAAGGAACGCCAAAGGUUAUUUCAAAUUUAUUUGUUUGGAAAUUUAUAUUGAAAUAUUUGCAUAACAUACUUAAAAGCACAGGGGAGAUUUAGUUUAAAUCUGCUACCUUUUGAAAGACCAAUGUGAUAGGAAAAAAAAGACAGACACGUAAUUAUGGCCGCAGCAAGUCUCUUUUUUUUUUUUUUUUGCAUUUUUGUAAAAAAAAUAAUAAAAAAUAUUCAAUUUUCUGUUUUUUCUGUUUCUGACUAUCAUUAUUUUAUUAAAUUAAAUAUUAAAAUUAAUAUAAAUUGGAUAUAAUUAGUGUUUUAGAUGUACUGUAACGGGCUUUUCUGUUAAAAAAAGAAUAUAGAUAGAUACAUACAUAUUUUGCUUAAAACUUUCUUUACUUAAGCUCCCCAGCAGCAUAACUUUCACAUAGUAACAGGAUAAACCAAUCAGAAAAAAGAACACAGGUAAUAAAAGUCCCUCCCCCAUUUAGCUCUUCCUCUUUCUUUGCUGCUCCUCACCAGUACAGCUCACUGUCUCCCACUCUGUGGGGAUUACUGUAUUUUAUCUUGUUUUUUCUGAUGUUUCUUUUUAUUCUGUCAUUUCUUAUGGUUUCCCUUAUUAUAUAUGUUUUCUGAGGUACAUCCUGUUUUUAUAAUACUUCUACUUUUGCUUUAUAUUUUUUCCUCUCUUAUUUUACAUGGGUUUUUGCUCUGCUUUCUCUCAGGGUAAUUUUCAUUAUUUUGUUUUGUGUCUUAUUGUUUCUUUUGUGUUGCUUUCAUUUGUCCGGUAUAGCGGCUGGCUUUUUGCCUCCCCGAUUUUCCAGGGCUUUUUCUACCUUGUGGCGGCCAUCUGAGAUCCCGCGCACUAGCGCUAAAUCCUGGCAGCCAUCUUGGAUCCUGCGCGCCUGUGAGAGAUUGCGGUGGCCAUUUUGUUGGAGUCUGCGAUCCGUGCAGGCUCUCUAGUGCGCAUUGAUACCCUAGUUUGCGCCUGGCUCGCGGCUGUCUCCCGCAAAUCGCUGGAUGCUAUCUGAUGCACCUAGCCUUACGUUAGGCUAGGUCAUCUCUCUCAAUGAUUGUAGUUUGCUCUGGGAGGAUUAAAGUUUUAAUUCAAGUAUAAGUGAUUAGUAUAUUGUGUCAUUAAACUAGCUUGCACACAUUGCUAUGAAUCAGUCUGCUUUUGAUUGUUAGUAUAUCAUCCUAAUUCCAUAGAGUGUUUUUCUCAUAUGUAUUCAAGGUUCCUGCAGCAGUCUCACGCACUGCUGCCACCCUUACUUUACCAUCUGUAUCACAGGAUUCAUAUUUAUUAUUAUUUACCUGCAUUACGCUACAGGGUUUAGAGGGUGAGCCCCUCUUAUUGGACCCUUCACUAUAGCAGAGUGGGUACUUCUGCCACAAUACCUAUACUGGGGUAAACCCUCAUAUUAUUAUUAUAUCUACACUAAGCCACUUCUACAUCCAAGUGAUAUUGUAAGGGGUGAAACCCCUAUAUUUAUUUAUGACCACUCUAUCGGGUAUAUUUAUAUUGGUCACUGCAUGGUUUCGCUGUCCCUGGUACAUCUAUCUGAUUGGCCCGCUUUGUCUGUGCCCUAUUACCUCCCUACAGGGUAUAUAUACAACCGGAGGAUUUUUCUACUGGGUCAGCCCCAGUUAUAUAUAUGUGGCUAAAUUUAUUACAUAUAUGCGCACUGGUCCCUGUUUCUAAUACUGGCUUAUUCUGCCCCUCAGGUGAACUGGCUAACAUUAUGGAUUCCGCUCAAGACCAGAAUCUCCAGGCGCUUAUUAACGCAGCAGUGGCUGCUUCUAUUGAAAAGGCCCUAGCACGGGUCCUUCCCUCGGAGCUUAAGGACAAAACUUCCCCCGAGCCACUACGCUCUGCAGAAGAAUGUGAUGACUCAGAUUCCCCCAAGGUGUGCAAAUUGGAAAGGGGAGGGGUUACCUUCUCCAGAUCCCAACGUACGGAAUCCGAUUUCUUCGCGGCUUUCUAUCCAUAUUUUUCCAAUUUCACGAAAUUAUGUGUGGCGUCUACCCUCUCUCAUUACUGAGCUGUUACCGCUUCCCUCCGUUCCUCUCCCUCUGGUCAACUAUUGGUCUCGUACGUUUGCCUCCAUGCCCCAGUCUCAACCACCACCCUGGCACAUUGGAUCAGAUGGUUACUCUCCUUAGCGAGGGUCGAAGCUUCCUUUGGGGCACAUUCGGUCAGGGGGGCGGCGGCCUCAGGUGCAUUUAUGGCAGGUGCUUCUCUACAUGAUAUCCCCAAAUCCACGGAUUGGUCCCGGGAGGAGACUUUCCGCAAUUUCUACUUCAGUCCGGCUGUGUGUCAAAACAGCAAAAUAUGAAGCCUCCUGUCAUGUUAUAAAAUUGUAAAUUUUGCUAGCUUUAGUGUAUCUUAAUUUUAUUAAUGACAGGAGGCGAAUAUUUCCCACCCUUUCUUUUCCCUGUCCCUUUUGUUUGCUUCAUCAGGUAAGACAGAGGGGUGAGUACGGUUGCAGUUCUCUUAUAGCAUGUCUGGUUUUUUGUUCAGUUAGUAACUAUAACUGGUUAAACUCUGAAUUUUAAUCAUCUAGGUUGCAUGCAUUUAGGAGUCCAAUUCUCUGAUGAAUCCCUCCUUUCGACUCUCUUCUUUCGUUUCAGUUUAAAAGGCCUUCCAGUGUGCAGAUUCAAGACCGUUCCUGUUAAUCUUGGACUCUUCUGAGACUUAAUUCCAGUUCGUUCAUCAGUUCCUGUUUGGUUCGUGUCGCAGCCAGAAAGAGGAAGAGCUGAUUUGGGGAGGGACUUUUAUUAUCUGUGUUCCUUUUUUCUGAUUGGUUUAUCCUGUUACUACGUGAAUGUUAUGCUGGGGAGCUUAAGCAAAAUAUGAAGCCUCCUGUCAUGUUAUAAAAUUAAAAUUAUAUUACUAAAG
rnacentral:lncRNA from 1 species